rnacentral:rRNA from 1 species
GAGUUUGAUCAUGGCUCAGAGUGAACGCUGGCGGUAGGCCUAACACAUGCAAGUCGAACGGCAGCACAGAGGAGCUUGCUCCUUGGGUGGCGAGUGGCGGACGGGUGAGGAAUACAUCGGAAUCUACUCUGUCGUGGGGGAUAACGUAGGGAAACUUACGCUAAUACCGCAUACGACCUACGGGUGAAAGCAGGGGAUCUUCGGACCUUGCGCGAUUGAAUGAGCCGAUGUCGGAUUAGCUAGUUGGCGGGGUAAAGGCCCACCAAGGCGACGAUCCGUAGCUGGUCUGAGAGGAUGAUCAGCCACACUGGAACUGAGACACGGUCCAGACUCCUACGGGAGGCAGCAGUGGGGAAUAUUGGACAAUGGGCGCAAGCCUGAUCCAGCCAUACCGCGUGGGUGAAGAAGGCCUCGGUU